AAGUGUACAGGGAUCUUGCAUUGAAACGACAGCGGGGACUCAGGAAUGCGGCUCACGUUCUGGAAGCCGUCAGGAUUGAGCGCUCAGUGUUUCCAUGGACAAGCUGAGUUCCCACUGAAUACACCAAGCGGUUUAGAUGGUGCCUGCCUGGACAGAGCUGGGCCUGGUGCAGAACCUUCACGACCUCGCUGUGGGCUAAACCAGCCAAGGAAGUGCCAUUGAUGGAGAGAAGGAAAUCCCCUCGGCUCACAGUCCCUUCCUGAGAAGCCACACCCUGAGAAAACACCCUGUGGACCUAGGACGGAAAGGGAAAGAGAACAAAUCCACUCACAACCCUGGUAACUGAGAGAGAGUAGCUGCAAAUCUAUGGUCAAGGAGCUUCCUCAUGCCAAACUUUCAGGGUCGAAUUGCAAACCUCUGCAGCAGCAUCUACCCAUAUUUCCAUGGGGCAACAGGAAGAGAGACAGAUAAGACUUGGGCUUGCCCGGUAAAAAUGGCCUCAAGGUCGCCAAGUGAUACAGAA